UACGGAGGAUCCAAGCGUUAUCCGGAAUUACUGGGCGUAAAGAGUUGCGUAGGUGGCAUUGUAAGUUGGUAGUGAAAGCGUUCGGCUCAACCGAAUAUACAUUACCAAAACUGCAAAGCUAGAGGACGAGAGAGGUAAUUGGAAUUCCUAAUGUAGGGGUAAAAUCCGUUGAUAUUAGGAGGAACACCGAUGGCGUAGGCAGAUUACUGGCUCGUUCCUGACACUAAGGCACGAAAGCGUGGGGAGCAAACAGG
rnacentral:rRNA from 1 species